UACGUAGGGGGCUAGCGUUGUCCGGAAUCAUUGGGCGUAAAGAGCGUGUAGGCGGCCCGGUAAGUCCGCUGUGAAAGUCGGGGGCUCAACCCUCGAAUGCCGGUGGAUACUGUCGGGCUAGAGUGCGGAAGAGGCGAGUGGAAUUCCUGGUGUAGCGGUGAAAUGCGCAGAUAUCAGGAGGAACACCGGUGGCGAAGGCGGUUCUCUGGGCAUGUCCUGACGCUGAGGAGCGAAAGCGUGGGGAGCGAACAGG
rnacentral:rRNA from 1 species